GAGGAGGGAGGCCCCAGACAAGGGAAGCCAGAGACACUGAGAUCCAGGAGGACUCCCAAGGUGUGUUGGAGCUGCAUGGACUGAGAAGCCUGGAGAUGCCAGGGUCACUGCACCAGGGACAGGGAUAUUAGAUAUUAACACAACUAACAAAUUGAUGCCAUGGCCAAGAGUUCCUUGAAGCCAGAAACUGGAAAACCUGAAUUGUUUGACAAUAUGCAAGGAUAGCAAGCACCACGACACAGAGGUUGAUCCAAGGACCACUGAGCUCGAUGGAAACCGAUUCUGCUUCCAUUGAAGUCUAUGGCAAAAUUCCUACAAACUUUAGUAAUGCAGGAUCAGGCUCUGUAUACCAGUACACACAGCACUACUGAAAUGGACAUCUUGGAUAGGAGGUCUGCAAUCAAUUAGUGUACAGCACACUGCAUGAAAAGGAACAGGGGAGGGUAAGAUGUACCUCAGCAGGAACAGCCUUAUGGAUCAGGCUCAAGGUCAGGAAUGGAUGCAUAUGUUUAAGUACACAAGGGACUGGUCCCACUGAAGUCAAUGUGACUACUCAUGUGAGGGGCAGAUUUUCAAAGGCACAAAAAAGAGUUGGAUGCCGAACUUCUGGGUUUUUUUUGUUUUAAAUGUGUCUUUGAAAUCUCCCCCUAAACUGCUUUGCUAGAUCAGGGUCUUGGAUCCAAGUCUUGUAUAUGUGUAAUUACACUAACAUCCACGGAGUUACUACUAAUUUACAGCGGUGUAAGUAAAAGGAGAAUCUGUCUCUUUGAUGUUGAAAUGGGUUUCAUUACUUUGUUUUUCAUAUCAUUUUCUAUACAUUUCUACAGAAAUUAAACAUUAGAAAAUCUAUUGGUUAACAAAAAUACGUAAAGGCAAAAACUCAGAGCAAACAUGGCCAAUUCAAUAGUCAAGGAGCCAAUCUCUCAAAGUUAUCCAGCUAGUGACAAAAUGCAAGAGUCCCUCAAAAGAGCGUUUCUCAGAUGUGUAGGUCAGUGGGAUCCUCCAGUCAGGACUCCAGUUACGGCUCAGUAUGAUUUAAGCCUACAUCUUGCUGAUGUAGCUAUUUCAAAAAGAAACACUUUAUUUCUGCACCCUCUAAUGAAAUAUGCUCACCUGCCAUGUCAAAUCGAUGCUCAGAAAAACAGUGCCUACAACUUACUGUAAAUGCAAAUAAAAAUCACAAAGUAGUACUCAAAGUACAAACAGGAGCAGUGACAUCAGAUAUAAAUGAGGAUAUAUGGGUGUGAGAAAUAUAUUAUAUACAGCAGGAGCCCCCAAUCUAGUGUGGCUGUGGGUCCCUUAGAUGUGUCUGAACUGGACCUGUUAGAUAUUUAGAAAUUACCAAAUCUCUAUGUAUUCUAUGAGAGGUAGUGUUUGAGUUUAAAUUGUUAGAAAAAUCUAAAUUAACAAAUAAAACAGAAUUGAGCAGUGCACUAAGAAAUGAUUAGUUGUAAUUACACACAUUAAUGUGUUCCCCUAUCUCAUUUCAAUCUCAAGACAAACAUUCAACAUAAACCU